UAGAAACAAGAAAACUUGCUUUGUAGAAAGAAGAUAUCAAUGAACUUCUGUGAAAUGGUUUAUUGGAUUCAGCCAAUAAUAUUGAUCGUAGGAUAUCAAUGGGGAAAAAAAGGGGCUAAUUAUCCUUUUGCCCAUUCUGAUAACACAUUCAUAUGACUACCUACUAAAGAGAGAAGCAAACAUCCACACCAAAAACAAAAUCUCUCUUGAAAAG
rnacentral:misc_RNA from 1 species